GCCCGAAUAGCUCAGCUGGUUAGAGCACUAGACUGUUAAUCUGGGGGUCGUAGGUUCGAGUCCUACUUCGGGCGCCA
rnacentral:tRNA from 1 species